GCUCUUCUGAUCUAGACACCUGCCCUGGAAGACGUGAUUGGAUAUACCCACAGGCAUGCCAACAGACUGAUGAUAGAAAGGCAUGGCUUUUAACUUUUCGUUGUCGUGAG